ensembl:snoRNA
UGAUUUCUUUAAAGAGGGCUUGUGGGGCUGUGAAACCAAGAGCUCUUAGCACUGUGACCAAAGGCUGAAGUUCUCCACAGGAGGCCAUACAGUGAUAUGUUCCUGAGGAGAUAUGAAA